CUAGGGGUGGGGAUGAUGAAGGCAGGGGCUGCUCCUGUAGCUGAGAUCUGGGGUUGACCUUCGGAGUCAGUGUGAGGAGGUCAGAGUGCAGUGUGAGUGGAAGAAAGACCUUCAUUCUGGAGGAUGCUCUGCUUGGCCUGGAUGCUGCCCAUCAGAAGCCCCAGCAAGACUGUUUUCAGCAGGAAUUCCCCAGGUUUGAUGACAUCAUUCUGCUCGCUGUCCCAGUACUGAGUGUCCUCCAAGCCUCACUUUUCCCCCUGCGGUCCGGCAGAGAAUGGUGGCGUCACCCUAGAGCGAGGAUUUGCAGACCAACUGGAGUGUCUCCUUCCUGAGCAUUCAGCCUACAAUCCCAAGGGACUGAGUUGGCUCCAGUGCAGUAUACAUGGAAGUGGUACUUGCUCUUUGGGGCUUGGCCUCAGAACUAUCCUGGCUCAGGCAAUGUGGGCAGGAGAGAAAAGGCCAGAGGGAUGGUUCUCAGGAGAACACAGUAUGAAGUUGCUUACCUGCAGUCAACAAAAUGUCCUCAGACAUCCACUUCGGGGUGUAUUCCACUGCUACUGUGUAUGCAUUCAGCGAGGCAUCUUAUCUAUGUGACCAUUCAGAUACUAUACACAGGUUCAUACCAAGAAUAUGCUAAGGCAACUGACUAUAUAUACU
rnacentral:lncRNA from 1 species